GAUGAACGCUGGCGGCGUGCUUAACACAUGCAAGUCGAACGGAAAGGCCCUGCUUUUGUUGGGUGCUCGAGUGGCGAACGGGUGAGUAACACGUGAGUAACCUGCCCUUGACUUUGGGAUAACUUCAGGAAACUGGGGCUAAUACCGGAUAGGAGCUCCUGCUGCAUGGUGGUGGUUGGAAAGUUUCGGCGGUUGGGGAUGGACUCGCGGCUUAUCAGCUUGUUGGUGGGGUAGUGGCUUACCAAGGCUUUGACGGGUAGCCGGCCUGAGAGGGUGACCGGCCACAUUGGGACUGAGAUACGGCCCAGACUCCUACGGGAGGCAGCAGUGGGGAAUAUUGCACAAUGGGCGGAAGCCUGAUGCAGCAACGCCGCGUGCGGGAUGACGGCCUUCGGGUUGUAAACCGCUUUCGCCUGUGACGAAGCGUGAGUGACGGUAAUGGGUAAAGAAGCACCGGCUAACUACGUG
rnacentral:rRNA from 1 species